GCUGAUAUGGCCGAGUGGUUAAGGCGAGUGAUUUGAAUGACUCAAUAUCACUUGGGCAUCGCCCGCAUAGGUUCGAACCCUAUUGUCAGCG
rnacentral:tRNA from 1 species